GUAAAAAUAAAGAAAGAAAGAAAAAAGAGAAGACGGAGACGGAACGACUUAGUGACGGGGGGGACAGACACCCCAAGUGUCUCUUUGCCUUGACCCCUUUCUAUUCCCCCGUCUCCUUUUUGUAUCUCCAUUCCCCGUCUCCU
rnacentral:ribozyme from 11 species